rnacentral:rRNA from 1 species
CCACCCUGGUGCUGACGGUACCUAAAGAAUAAGCACCGGCUAACUACGUGCCAGCAGCCGCGGUAAUACGUAGGGUGCGAGCGUUAAUCGGAAUUACUGGGCGUAAAGCGAGCGCAGACGGUUAAUUAAGUCAGAUGUGAAAUCCCCGAGCUCAACUUGGGACGUGCAUUUGAAACUGGUUAACUAGAGUGUGUCAGAGGGAGGUAGAAUUCCACGUGUAGCAGUGAAAUGCGUAGAGAUGUGGAGGAAUACCGAUGGCGAAGGCAGCCUCCUGGGAUAACACUGACGUUCAUGCUCGAAAGCGUGGGUAGCAAACAGGAUUAGAUACCCUGGUAGUCCACGCCCUAAACGAUGACAAUUAGCUGUUGGGACACUAGAUGUUUUAGUAGCGAAGCUAACGCGUGAAAUUGUCCGCCUGGGGAGUACGGUCGCAAGAUUAAAACUCAAAGGAAUUGACGGGGACCCGCACAAGCGGUGGAUGAUGUGGAUUAAUUCGAUGCAACGCGAAGAACCUUACCUGGUCUUGACACGUACGGAAUCUCUUAGAGAUAGGAGAGUGCCUUCGGGAGCCGUAACACAGGUGCUGCAUGGCUGUCGUCAGCUCGUGUCGUGAGAUGUUGGGUUAAGUCCCGCAACGAGCGCAACCCUUGUCAUUAGUUGCCAUCAUUAAGUUGGGCACUCUAAUGAGACUGCCGGUGACAAACCGGAGGAAGGUGGGGAUGACGUCAAGUCCUCAUGGCCCUUAUGACCAGGGCUUCACACGUCAUACAAUGGUCGGUACAGAGGGUAGCGAAGCCGCGAGGUGAAGCCAAUCUCAGAAAGCCGAUCGUAGUCCGGAUUGCACUCUGCAACUCGAGUGCAUGAAGUCGGAAUCGCUAGUAAUCGCAGGUCAGCAUACUGCGGUGAAUA